AUUGAACGCUGGCGGCAGGCCUAACACAUGCAAGUCGAACGGUAGCAGGAAGAAGCUUGCUUCUUUGCUGACGAGUGGCGGACGGGUGAGUAAUGUCUGGGAAACUGCCUGAUGGAGGGGGAUAACUACUGGAAACGGUAGCUAAUACCGCAUAACGUCGCAAGACCAAAGAGGGGGACCUUCGGGCCUCUUGCCAUCAGAUGUGCCCAGAUGGGAUUAGCUAGUAGGUGGGGUAACGGCUCACCUAGGCGACGAUCCCUAGCUGGUCUGAGGGGAGGACCAGCCGCACUGGAACUGAGACACGGUCCAGACUCCUACGGGAGGCAGCAGUGGGGAAUAUUGCACAAUGGGCGCAAGCCUGAUGCAGCCGUGCCGCGUGUGUGAAGAAGGCCUUCGGGUUGUAAAGCACUUUCAGCGGGGAGGAAGGGGGAAUGGUUAAUAACCAUUGUCAUUGACGUUACCCGCAGAAGAAGCACCGGCUAACUCCGUGCCAGCAGCCGCCGUAA
rnacentral:rRNA from 1 species